rnacentral:rRNA from 1 species
CAGUAGCCGCGGUAAUACGAAGGGUGCAAGCGUUAAUCGGAAUUACUGGGCGUAAAGCGUGCGUAGGCGGUUUGUUAAGUCUGUUGUGAAAUCCCCGGGCUCAACCUGGGAAUGGCAAUGGAUACUGGCAAGCUAGAGUGUGUCAGAGGAUGGUGGAAUUCCCGGUGUAGCGGUGAAAUGCGUGGAGAUCGGGAGGAACAUCAGUGGCGAAGGCGGCCAUCUGGGACAACACUGACGCUGAGGCACGAAAGCGUGGGGAGCAAACAGGAUUAGAUACCCCUGUAGUCCCUGUCUCUUAUAU